GCGGAAGAUCGGGCAGUCGCUGUACUCAUUAUGAUUGCAGAGGAAAGUCCGGGCACCAUAGGACAGGAUACCUUGUGCUGAGCAGGGGGCCCGUAAGGGUACGGAGCAGUGCCACAGAGAAAAGACCGCUCUUUUCCGGUUUAAUCCGGAAAGGGGUGAGAUGUGAAAAGGCGAGGUAAGAGCUCACCGUCCCGUCAGAUGGCGGGAGCUGGUAAACCCUAUCCGGUGCAAGACCAAGUAGAAGGGAUUUACUGCAGCAAUGCAGUUGGAAGUGGUCCGCUUCUUUUCCCUCGGGUAGGUCGCUCAAUGUCCCGGUUCACUCCGGGGCCAGAUAAAUGACUGCCUCUUCUAUUUUAUAGAAAAGACAGAACCCGGCUUACAGUUCUUCCGCCCAC
rnacentral:RNase_P_RNA from 1 species